rnacentral:hammerhead_ribozyme from 1 species
UCACUGCUGAGUAGUCCCAUAAUAGGACGAAACAACCGUCCAGUGG